AGCAACUUCUUAGCAGUCACGCACAAAACACGAAGCAUUACUGAAUAUUCUUUAGAAGGAGUAAGUUUCAUAAUUUUCAGCUUAGAACUCGCAUCUGUGCCGUUGGACAGAGCUAUGCAUGAGAAGGGUUAAGCAAUUACAAAAGAUGAUUGGUUCGAAAACAGUAGAUGGAAACCACUGCCUGACGAUCGCCGAACGAGUACUGUCAUCACGUCUGCAUUGAAUGUGUCGCUGAUCCGAUCACGGCUCUCUCCCCCGGUUGCAAAUGUUGGGAAAAAACAGAAAUUACAAUUUUCUCAGAGGCUUGGAAUACAUUUUGAUCUCACCGCACUGCCAAGAUUUCGCUCAACUGUUGAUCGCACAGUCUAAUCAAGCCUUCCGAUGAGGGCAGACUUGUAACGGUUUAUACUAUCAGUCACUGUAACUCACAAGCGGCUGCCUAUGAUGUAAUCAGCGACCGGGCCAGCAAAGGGACCAUAAGGCAAACGAUAGAGCUGAUUGACGAAAUGCUACGUCACAGAUUAUACAACGACCAAUCAAUAAAUCAAUCAAUCAAUCAAUGGACCACGUGGAAGAGGGGAACUCACUCACCUGAGACAGACGUACUCGAGUACCACGCCCAGUCCUAUGACCACAACCUUACAAGUCUCAGACAUUUUGGUUAAACAAAGAAAGUAAACACUAAUUGGAGUUCCAAUCAUCAUGGACAGAAUCAGCGUUGUCUGAAUCCAAUGCCUUGAGCGCCAAAAGAGGAAUAUAAUUUCAAUUACAUAACUAAGCUAUAGACCGCACUUUUAAUCGUUUUAUCAGCAUAAUAACCCACAUAGGAUGCUAAGAGAACACGAGAAAAGUUUGUAAAACACAAGCCGGAGGCGAGCGACUCACAAACUUCCUAUGGGCUUACCGGUUUUAUAAACGAUAGAUUUCGACUAAUCAGGGCGCUCGUAGUAUCUGACUAAUUUUAUAACCUGUGCUUGUUCUGUCAUAGUGAGCGGUUUCAAAUGCCCUUCAAGAUUAACAUUUGGAAAAAAAAGAAAAGGUUUUCGUAAAAGGGUAAGUGGUUGACAAUCAGUGGAGCUGCUUUUGCUUUCCCUUCUAAUCGUAAAUCGAGCUAAUUUUAAUGGCAGGUUUAUGCUCGCUCUCAGAUUUUCUUCAAUUCAUGUGCUAGAAAAAUAUUGGAAAAUUAAUCGAAGACGAGGAAUAUCACCCUAAAAAGCAACUAACAAUUGAAUAACCGAGAGGUUUCUCUUGGGCUGUUAAUAAUGGGAGCAAAAGAUAGGAGCAGAACAACUUAAAUAAUUUCCUACCUGACAGUAAGACCACUCGGUAACCACUUUCUUCCUGUUUCCAAUUUGUACUGUCGAAGCAGAUAGACAGCGGUUACGAUACCAUCAAUGACCGUAAAACACCACGUCUACAUUAUUACAGGGGUUUACAAUUCGCCACCACUGAGAGUCAAAUCUCCACCGGUGGCGAUUUG